rnacentral:lncRNA from 1 species
CUCUGACCAGGGAUUGAACCCAGCUCCUCUGCAUUGAGAGUGUGGAGUCUUAGCCACUGGGCCAUCAGGGAAGUCCCAACAUAUUAUUAUUUGGCUUCCUAGCACCUCCACCACGCCUGCAUCUCCCACCAUGGUCCAGAAAACAUCUAUGAAGAUAGAGACUGGUGACCUCUGCUGACGUUUUACUGUUUAAAGUUAUCAGUGCCAUGCCUUCAAAUCUAGAGGAAAUGCCAGUGGUCCUCUUUCCAAAGAAAGGGAGUCCACUAUAGCCACUAACUGUCUUUCACCAUUCUGGUAUAUGUUUCUGAGUUUUAUGUUCACUUGUUCAUUCCUAUCUCCACUUGGAGGCUAAAAUAGGUAAGACUAUUUUAAUAGUCUAUCUUUUCCUUAUUUAUUUGAUGUAGCUCUGUGUAAACUAGGC